rnacentral:rRNA from 1 species
UGGGGAAUAUUGGGGCAAUGGGCGAAAGCCUGACCCAGCAACGCCGCGUGAGGGAAGAAGGGUUUCGGCUCGUAAACCUCUGUCCUAUGGGACGAAGGAAGUGACGGUACCAUAGGAGGAAGCCCCGGCUAACUACGUGCCAGCAGCCGCGGUAAUACGUAGGGGGCGAGCGUUGUCCGGAAUGAUUGGGCGUAAAGGGCGCGUAGGCGGCCUGCUAAGUCUGGAGUGAAAGUCCUGCUUUCAAGGUGGGAAUUGCUUUGGAUACUGUUGGACUAGAGUACAGGAGAGGAAAGCGGAAUUCCUAGUGUAGCGGUGAAAUGCAUAGAUAUUAGGAGGAACAUCGGUGGCGAAGGCGGCUUUCUGGACUGCAACUGACGCUGAGGCUCGAAAGCGUGGGGAGCAAACAGGAUUAGAUACCCUGGUAGU